rnacentral:lncRNA from 1 species
UGUGGCAAAGCCCCUCUACUCAGCAACCAUAUCAAUGCAUACACUUGUAGACUAUUAUACCUACACAUACCCAAUGCUUCGCUGCUGCACUUUAUCCAGCUUAAUCUACUAAAUGUAUCUAUUAAAUAACACAUCAAUUACAUUGUUAUGAAAAAGUUCUCCUGUCUUAUAACUGUUACCUUAAAUCUUUAGGUAAAAGCUAAUUAUUUUGGUGUCUAGGUGCAAGCUCAAAUUAUAAAAGUGCCAGUCAAUCUCUAUGUACCAGUCAAAUCUCUAUGUACCAGUCAAAUCUCUAGGUGCCUGCUAAUCUCAGUGCAAGCUUAAAUCUGUAAGUACAGUUUAAAUCUCUAGAAGUCAGUCAAAUCUCUAGGUACCAGUCAAAUAUCUAGAAGUCAGUCAAAUCUCUAGGUACCAGUCAAAUCUCUAGGGAGUCAGUCAAAUCUCUAGGUACCAGUCAAAUCUCUAGGGAGUCAGUCAAAUCUCUAGGUACCAGUCAAAUCUCUAGGGAGUCAGUCAAAUCUCUAGGUAC